rnacentral:rRNA from 1 species
UGGAUCGAUGAAGAACGCAGCCAGCUGCGAUAAAUAGUGCGAAUUGCAGACACAUUGAGCACUAAGAAUUCGAACGCACAUUGCGCUAUCGGGUUCAUUCCCGAUGGCACGUCUGGCUGAGGGUCGAAUUGUGCUAGAGCAUCUUUGCAAUCACUUCUCUCAGAUUGUGAUUGUGAAGCAUUCGGCGAGCGAUUGUUGUCGUGUUGUUGCUUAAGGUGACGAUUGAAUCGGCACCGCGCGACACGACACGGUUCCUUGCUUAGUUUGAUGAACAAAAAGACGUCCCGCACACCCAACGUCUGCUAAACACUAGACUAGAGCUGGUGUCUAGAGGUGUUGGGUGUGAUUUUGAUGGUCACAAAAGUGCCGCCAUUUCAUAGUGGCAACAACCAGCAUACGUCUAUGAUACUAGUAGGUUGGCUGGUUGAUGAAACGGCAACGGAAUGUGCGCAUGCAUGUGAUCGAGAAGCGAUAAUGUUCGUAUUUGACCUCAGCUCAGUCGUGAUU